rnacentral:rRNA from 1 species
UACAGAGGUGGCAAGCGUUGUUCGGAAUUACUGGGCGUAAGGCGCGUAGGCGGCCAUCUAAGUCAGACGUGAAAUCCCCGGCUUAACCUGGGAACUGCGUCUGAUACUGGAAGGCUUGAGUAUGGGAGAGGGAUGUAGAAUUCCAGGUGUAGCGGUGAAAUGCGUAGAUAUCUGGAGGAAUACCGGUGGCGAAGGCGGCAUCCUGGACCAUUACUGACGCUGAGGCGCGAAAGCUAGGGGAGCAAACGGG